GACAUGUGUUCCCUUGCUGAAUGGCCAUCCCAUGCUCGCCACAACCGUGCACUACUACAGGAUGAAGCUGGUGGACAGAAGAAGAAAGGGCGAGGUGUUCUAAAAGGUUUUAAAGCAUCUAAGAAGCGUUUUGCCAAUGGAUCUGCAAAGCUAAAUAUUACAUUCUCUGAAAAAUUGGGUGGUACAGUAGGAAUGAACUAUCGUUCGUUCAAGGAUGACGUGGUAGUCGUAAUGAAAAGAAAGUUACCACUCAUUGGAGUGAGGACGUGGUCGGACAUUCACCCUACCAUUCAUCGACUCAUUAUUGCAGACAUGAUAGACAGAUGGGACUUGGAAGAUACACCAGAAACAGAAGAAAAAGUUCUCAAAAUUGCGAAAGAGCAAUAUAGAGGCUGGCGAUCAACUCUAAGCUCCACUUACAAGGCAUACAAAACAGAUGCAGCUAGAUUGGCUAAUCUGCCGGAAGAUUUGCAACCAGAAGAGUGGGAAUGGAUGAUUGAGUACUUUGGCACUGAUUCAAAAUUUCCGGUUAUCUCUAAGAUCA